UGUCAGGGCCCACGGAGUGCGGACUUACGAACCCCGCCAGGGCCGGAAGGCAGCAACGGUAGUUUGCUUCGUAUUUGCCGUGGUCACCCUGGCGUUU
rnacentral:SRP_RNA from 3 species